rnacentral:snRNA from 1 species
GUGCUCACUUCAACAGUACAUAUACUAAAAUUGGAACGAUACAGAGAUUAGCAUGGCCCCUGUGCAAGGAUGACACACAAAUUCGUGAAAUGUUCCAUAUUAAA